GGAGAAAUACCCAAGAGGCUGAAGGGAUCGGUCUUGAAAACCGACAGGUGAUGAAAGUCGCGCGGGGGUUCAAAUCCCUCUUUCUCCGCCA
rnacentral:tRNA from 1 species